rfam:Corchorus olitorius cultivar O-4 contig09745, whole genome shotgun sequence.
ACUGUGGUCUUAUUUAAGACCACAUUUAUCCAAAAAAAACUUUUAG